CUGGCGAGGAUGGCACUGACGCUGAGGCACGAAGGCGUGGGGAUCGAACAGGAUUAGAUACCCUGGUAGUCCACGCAGUAAACGAUGAUGACUUGUUGUCGGCGAUAGACGGCCGGUGACAAAGCGAAAGCGAUAAGUCAUCCACCUGGGGAGUACGAUCGCAAGGUUGAAACUCAAAGGAAUUGACGGGGGCCCGCACAAGCGGAGGAGCAUGUGGUUUAAUUCGAUGAUACGCGAGGAACCUUACCUAGACUCAAAUGUAGGGCGACAAGCUCGGAGACGGGCCCUUCCUUCGGGACGACCUACAAGGUGCUGCAUGGUUGUCGUCAGCUCGUGCCGUGAGGUGUCAGGUUAAGUCCUAUAACGAGCGCAACCCCUACGUCCAGUUGCCAGCGGGUAAGGCCGGGGACUCUGGAGGGACUGCCGGCGCAAGCCGAGAGGAAGGUGGGGAUGACGUCAAAUCAGCACGGCCCUUACGUCUAGGGCGACACACGUGCUACAACGGUGUGUACAGAGGGCAGGCACGCCGCGAGGCGGAGCGAAUCUCGAAAGCCGGUCUCAGUUCGGAUCGGAGUCUGCAACCCGACUCCGUGAAGUGGA
rnacentral:rRNA from 1 species